rnacentral:rRNA from 1 species
UACGUAGGGACCAAGCGUGGUUCGGAUUUACUGGGCGUAAAGGGCGCGUAGGCGGCGCGGUAAGUCACUUGUGAAAUCUCUGAGCUUAACUCAGAACGGCCAAGUGAUACUGCAGUGCUAGAGUGUGGAAGGGGCAAUCGGAAUUCUUGGUGUAGCGGUGAAAUGCGUAGAUAUCAAGAGGAACACCUGAGGUGAAGACGGGUUGCUGGGCCAACACUGACGCUGAGGCGCGAAAGCCAGGGGAGCAAACGGG